GACCCGUAAUCCGGGUUGCGGACAGUGUCUGGUGGGUAGUUUGACUGGGGCGGUCUCCUCCUAAAGAGUAACGGAGGAGCACGAAGGUUGGCUAAUCCUGGUCGGACAUCAGGAGGUUAGUGCAAUGGCAUAAGCCAGCUUGACUGCGAGCGUGACGGCGCGAGCAGGUGCGAAAGCAGGUCAUAGUGAUCCGGUGGUUCUGAAUGGAAGGGCCAUCGCUCAACGGAUAAAAGGUACUCCGGGGAUAACAGGCUGAUACCGCCCAAGAGUUCAUAUCGACGGCGGUGUUUGGCACCUCGAUGUCGGCUCAUCACAUCCUGGGGCUGAAGUAGGUCCCAAGGGUAUGGCUGUUCGCCAUUUAAAGUGGUACGCGAGCUGGGUUUAGAACGUCGUGAGACAGUUCGGUCCCUAUCUGCCGUGGGCGCUGGAGAACUGAGGGGGGCUGCUCCUAGUACGAGAGGACCGGAGUGGACGCAUCACUGGUGUUCGGGUUGUCAUGCCAAUGGCACUGCCCGGUAGCUAAAUGCGGAAGAGAUAAGUGCUGAAAGCAUCUAAGCACGAAACUUGCCCCGAGAUGAGUUCUCCCUGAGACUUAGAGUCUCCUGAAGGAACGUUGAAGACGACGACGUUGAUAGGCCGGGUGUGUAAGCGCAGCGAUGCGUUGAGCUAACCGGUACUAAUGAACCGUGAGGCUUAACCUUAC
rnacentral:rRNA from 2 species